rnacentral:lncRNA from 1 species
ACCCGUUGCAUCAAAGAGUCACGAGGAAGAGCAAAAGGAUCUGGCCACACAGAUUUAACACCUCCCAAUCUUCGGCUCUGACUCUCAGAUUUUGCACCCCAAUUGAUAGAUGUCCUGGAAAUCAAACCUCCGUGCCCUCUUCAACAGUUGGAAGGCCACCCUCGCUGAUAAAGGUUGGAUUAAGAAACUUGGAAACAAAAGCCCACAACUUGUAGACAUCCUCAAAGUUGGUCAGAAAUCCGAGAGAUGCUGU